ACACUUCCUUCAGGCAAGAGAAAACGGUAAAUUCAAAAAGCUGUUUGACAUUUGACUUUUUUGCCCAGAGUGCAAUAAAAUAAAUAUAAACAAAGAAUUUGCAAUAAAAUUAUAAAAUAUUUAUUUACAAUUAAUUUAUUUCAUUAAAAUCACAAAAAAAAAAACUAAAGAAAACACAAUGGAUCCACUUUACGACUCAGAUGACGAAUUCAAUUACAGUGACUUAAUUUUCCAAUUAUCCGAUAUAACACGCCAAACUUUGGAAAAACUAACCAUUGCAUAUGUUCUAUGUCCCAUCGAAGAUUCACAUAUAGAUAAUCUACAAAACGAAUCCAAUCAACUUAAAGAACAACGCACUCAUCUUGAAGAACAACUCAAAAAAACAAAACGCAAACGAUGGUGCAGCUGGUGUCAGUUGGAAGCUGUUUUUCAAAGUGAAAAUGAAAGAUUUUAUUGUUGUUCCAGAUGUGAGAAACUCGAUAUUCUGUUAUCCAAAGAAGAUUAAAAAAAAUGUUUGUUACCAGUUCGUUGAACAUUUUUAAUUUAUCAAAAAAAACAAAAAGUUCCAUGAAAAAUGUUUCAUAUUUCUCUGUGGUGAGAAAAAAUAAAUAGAAAAUUAAGUUUUGAUUUAAA